rnacentral:rRNA from 1 species
GACGAACGCUGGCGGCGUGCUUAACACAUGCAAGUCGAACGGAAAGGCCCUUCGGGGUACUCGAGUGGCGAACGGGUGAGUAACACGUGGGUGAUCUGCCCUGCACUUUGGGAUAAGCCUGGGAAACUGGGUCUAAUACCGAAUAGGACCACGCGCUUCAUGGUGUGUGGUGGAAAGCUUUUGCGGUGUGGGAUGGGCCCGCGGCCUAUCAGCUUGUUGGUGGGGUAAUGGCCUACCAAGGCGACGACGGGUAGCCGGCCUGAGAGGGUGACCGGCCACACUGGGACUGAGAUACGGCCCAGACUCCUACGGGAGGCAGCAGUGGGGAAUAUUGCACAAUGGGCGCAAGCCUGAUGCAGCGACGCCGCGUGAGGGAUGACGGCCUUCGGGUUGUAAACCUCUUUCAAUAGGGACGAAGCGCAAGUGACGGUACCUAUAGAAGAAGCACCGGCCAACUACGUGCCAGCAGCCGCGGUAAUACGUAGGGUGCGAGCGUUGUCCGGAACUACUGGGCGUAAAGAGCUCGUAGGUGGUUUGUCGCGUUGUUCGUGAAAACUCACAGCUUAACUGUGGGCGUGCGGGCGAUACGGGCAGACUAGAGUACUGCAGGGGAGACUGGAAUUCCUGGUGUAGCGGUGGAAUGCGCAGAUAUCAGGAGGAACACCGGUGGCGAAGGCGGGUCUCUGGGCAGUAACUGACGCUGAGGAGCGAAAGCGUGGGGAGCGAACAGGAUUAGAUACCCUGGUAGUCCACGCCGUAAACGGUGGGUACUAGGUGUGGGUUCCUUCCUUGGGAUCCGUGCCGUAGCUAACGCAUUAAGUACCCCGCCUGGGGAGUACGGCCGCAAGGCUAAAACUCAAAGGAAUUGACGGGGGCCCGCACAAGCGGCGGAGCAUGUGGAUUAAUUCGAUGCAACGCGAAGAACCUUACCUGGGUUUGACAUGCACAGGACGCCGGCAGAGAUGUCGGUUCCCUUGUGGCCUGUGUGCAGGUGGUGCAUGGCUGUCGUCAGCUCGUGUCGUGAGAUGUUGGGUUAAGUCCCGCAACGAGCGCAACCCUUGUCCUAUGUUGCCAGCGGGUUAUGCCGGGGACUCGUAGGAGACUGCCGGGGUCAACUCGGAGGAAGGUGGGGAUGACGUCAAGUCAUCAUGCCCCUUAUGUCCAGGGCUUCACACAUGCUACAAUGGCCGGUACAAAGGGCUGCGAUGCCGUGAGGUGGAGCGAAUCCUUUCAAAGCCGGUCUCAGUUCGGAUCGGGGUCUGCAACUCGACCCCGUGAAGUCGGAGUCGCUAGUAAUCGCAGAUCAGCAACGCUGCGGUGAAUACGUUCCCGGGCCU